rfam:Chelonia mydas contig196267, whole genome shotgun sequence.
GGCUCUGUGGUACAAUGGAUAGCACUUUGGACUUCUAGAUCAAUGACAGGUGAAGUCAUUCAAAGGUUGUGGGUUCGAGUCCUAAGAGAGUCA